GUACUAUUCCCUCUAUCUCAAAAUUCUUGUAUUACAUUUGUUUAGAUACGGAUGUAUCUAACACUAAAAUGUAACUAGAUACAUCCGUAUUUAGACAAAUUUAAGACAAGAAUUUUGGGACGGAGGGAGUACAAA
rfam:Triticum aestivum genome assembly, contig: Triticum_aestivum_CS42_TGACv1_scaffold_343662_4DL